UAGGGAAUCUUCCACAAUGGACGCAAGUCUGAUGGAGCAACGCCGCGUGAGUGAAGAAGGUCUUCGGAUCGUAAAGCUCUGUUGUUGGUGAAGAAGGAUAGAGGCAGUAACUGGUCUUUAUUUGACGGUAAUCAACCAGAAAGUCACGGCUAACUACGUGCCAGCAGCCGCGGUAAUACGUAGGUGGCAAGCGUGUCCGGAUUAUUGGGCGUAAAGCGAGCGCAGG
rnacentral:rRNA from 1 species